CAGGAAAGUAUUCCUGAAGGAUGUGACCCCUGAGUAUGGUCUUGAAAGAUGAAAGGUAAUUGGCUAGUCAGAUAGUGGGAAUGACUUCCCUGCCUAUGACACAGUGUGUUUUAUUCUUCUGAACCAUGUAGACAUGUUCACAGAUAGUAUUUUCCAGUCUGCCAGUGCCAUUGGGGAUUGCACUGUAGCAAACUAUUUCUGUGAGUUUCUGCUGAGAUCGACAAAUGAAGAAAUAUAGUGAAGACUUGGUGGAUACCCAGUUCUGCCAAACUAUCUAAAUCUUCUCAACAAGACAAGAACAUAAUGGAAAACAACUUGGAGCUUUGGAGCAUGGUGCUUGGUCCAACACCUUUGAACCAAGCACAGAGGACUCAGACAAAAGGUUUCUUUUCCACUUCUUGUAGCAGGAAAUCAACAAUGUUUUAGAUCAAAGCUGUUCCAUUUUCCUGGAUCCUAGUGGGGAGCUAACAUGGCGCAGAGCCACAGCCAAUCCAAGGACAUGUGGAUAUCUUAUUGGGAAAGUAAAAGGAACCGAAAUCAGUUGGCCUGUGGGAGAAACUCUUCCAACUGGUGGUGUUGUGUGAAUUGCUGCUGAGCAAGGUGUAAUUAGCUGCCAUGGGAUCACACUCACGGAUGAGGUGAG
rnacentral:lncRNA from 10 species